rnacentral:rRNA from 1 species
AGGACGAACGCUGGCGGCGUGCUUAACACAUGCAAGUCGAACGGUGAAGCCCUUUCGGGGGUGGAUCAGUGGCGAACGGGUGAGUAACACGUGAGCAACCUGCCCUUGACUCUGGGAUAACUUCGGGAAACCGGAGCUAAUACCGGAUAUGACACGCGGAGGCAUCUCCUGUGUGUGGAAAGAUUUAUUGGUCAAGGAUGGGCUCGCGGCCUAUCAGCUAGUUGGUGGGGUAAUGGCCUACCAAGGCGACGACGGGUA